GACGAACGCUGGCGGCGUGCUUAACACAUGCAAGUCGAACGGAAAGGCCCUGCUUUUGUGGGGUGCUCGAGUGGCGAACGGGUGAGUAACACGUGAGUAACCUGCCCUUGACUUUGGGAUAACUUCAGGAAACUGGGGCUAAUACCGGAUAGGAGCUCCUGCUGCAUGGUGGGGGUUGGAAAGUUUCGGCGGUUGGGGAUGGACUCGCGGCUUAUCAGCUUGUUGGUGGGGUAGUGGCUUACCAAGGCUGUGACGGGUAGCCGGCCGGAGAGGGUGACCGGCCACAUUGGGACUGAGAUACGGCCCAGACUCCUACGGGAGGCAGCAGUGGGGAAUAUUGCACAAUGGGAGGACGCCUGAUGCAGCAACGCCGCGUGCGGGAUGACGGCCUUCGGGUUGUAAACCGCUUUCGCCUGUGACGAAGCGUGAGUGACGGUAAUGGGUAAAGAAGCACCGGCUAACUACGUG
rnacentral:rRNA from 1 species